rnacentral:ncRNA from 2 species
AGCUUUGGCUAGGGGUCCGCAUUCGCAGAAAACUGGAAUGUCGGUGAGACAGUCCCUUAAUACCUGAUGCGGAUAACGCCGCCGGAGGGAAGCUGGGAGUAAUUUCC